UGAAAGUCCUAAACUACAUCCUAGGUAUAGUUGGUGUUUACACUGACUCAUGAAUGAAAUGAAAUGGAGUACGUAUGAAUGAACGAAGCAGACUCCGUGUUUGCUAAAACAGACUUCCUAGUUGAGGUCCCAUAUGUUGAGCCCUCAUUUCUGGAAAGUCUUAAUGUUAAGUCCAUGAUUCCAAGUUCUUAUGGCAUAUGAAUGAAUGAUAUGAAAGAUGUUAUGUUCUAUAUGUGAUAUGAUAUGUGAAUGUUAUAUG
rnacentral:misc_RNA from 1 species